UACGGAGGAUGCGAGCGUUAUCCGGAUUUAUUGGGUUUAAAGGGCGCGUAGGCGGCUUUUUAAGUCGGCGGUGAAAUUUUGCAGCUUAACUGUAACAGUGCCGUUGAUACUGGGGAGCUAGGAUUUGGUUGCUGUGGGUGGAAUGUGUGGUGUAGCGGUGAAAUGCUUAGAGAUCACACAGAAUAUCGAUUGCGAAGGCAGCUCACAAAGCCAAGAUUGACGCUGAGGCACGAAAGUGUGGGGAUCAAACAGGAUUAGA
rnacentral:rRNA from 1 species